GGCUAGCUCAUGUAGACUGAUGAAAUCAGCCUCCAAGGUUUCUGAGAGAAGUGGGAGUAUCAGGGAGGAGAUAUUCAUCAGGAAUUAUGUUGUUGCAGAGUCUGGAAAAAUGUAACCUGAAAUUCAGAAGAAAAUUGUAUAUGCAGGUGAAGUGGAUUUAAAAUGAAUAAAACUGGAUAAUACAACUUCAUGAGGAAAAUUACUUGUUCAGAUUUUGAUCAAGAGUUCUGGAAUUUGGAAGUCAGUAUGACAUCUCAGCUUGUACUCACUGCAUCUAUGAC